rnacentral:rRNA from 1 species
UACAGAGGUCUCAAGCGUUGUUCGGAUUCAUUGGGCGUAAAGGGUGCGUAGGCGGCGCGGUAAGUCGGGUGUGAAAUCCCUCGGCUUAACCGAGGAACUGCCUGCCAGACUGGAAGGCUUGAGACCGGGAGAGGUGAGUGGAAUUCCCAGUGUAGCGGUGAAAUGCGUAGAUAUUGGGAGGAACACCAGUGGCGAAGGCGGCUCACUGGACCGGAACUGACGCUGAGGCGCGAAAGCGUGGGGAGCAAACAGG